AGCGAACGCUGGCGGCGUGCCUAACACAUGCAAGUCGAACGUGAACGGGGGCAACCCUUAGUAAAGUGGCGUACGGGUGAGUAACACGUAGGUAAUCUACCCUAGAAUCUGGAAUAACCUGCCGAAAGGCGGGCUAAUACUGGAUAGAGCGACGGAACUCGUAAUGAGUUUUUCGGGAAAGGGAGCUCGCAAGAGCCUUCGUUCUAGGAUGAGCCUGCGUCCCAUUAGUUAGUUGGCAGGGUAAUGGCCUACCAAGACUAUGAUGGGUAGCUGGUCU
rnacentral:rRNA from 1 species